rnacentral:lncRNA from 1 species
AGUUCUGCUAGUUUAGUUACAUAAAUUCUGAUUUGUGUAAAGUAAGAUUUAUACCUUUCUGUUUUUCUAGAAGCUGUUUGUGCAGAGAGUGUGUAUAACUUCUUUGGGUGACCUACAGCAGAGCAGGACCUGUUGGUUGCAGCUGCAGUAUCCGACACUGCUGAGUUUUAUUUUCAAUUGCCCAGAGCACAGAAUGCUUUUUCCCACAGUUGGAGGAUGAUGAACUGCUUUGUGAUCUCUCUGGAGUGUGGAGUCUGAUGGGGUAACUGGACAGUGUCAGACACAGUACAGCAACUUUGUGCUCUUCUGCUCAGACCAAGAAAUGAGCUGAGCGACCUCUGCCUUUUAGGGGGAAAUGAAGUUUCUGCUCCACUCACCCAUCACCACCACCCAGAAAUUCAGCAGCUUCUGUGCCUGAGCCAGGUGAACAAUUGGUACAGCUGGGGAUGGGAAGGAAGAAAAGAGAAGUAUGUGAGCACACAUUUGUACUUUUUCCAGCAAAGAAGGCAGGAAGAUUGAUCACCACAAGGAAAAGAUCUUAAAACACCUCUCAGAGGCUCACUGGCAGUUUCAGAGUAACAAGAGUAACAAGUGAUGAUGAUCUUUCUCCACACAAUGACAUCUUUAAGGGCCAGAGAGAAAAUUACAGUCAAAACCAUGUGCAUUCAGGCAAUUUAGACAAUUUUCUGUGUGCAGACAAAAUCCCUGGAUUUCUCCUCAGUGUUUAUCAAGGUAGGCUUCACAAAGUAUUUCAGAAAUCCCUUCCUUCCUUCCUUCCUUCCUUCCUUCCUUCCUUCCUUCCUUCCUUCCUUCCUUCCUUCCUUCCUUCCUUCCUUCCUUCCUUCCUUC